rnacentral:rRNA from 1 species
AUUGAACGCUGGCGGCAUGCCUUACACAUGCAAGUCGAACGGCAGCACGGGUGCUUGCACCUGGUGGCGAGUGGCGAACGGGUGAGUAAUACAUCGGAACAUGUCCUGUAGUGGGGGAUAGCCCGGCGAAAGCCGGAUUAAUACCGCAUACGAUCUACGGAUGAAAGCGGGGGACCUUCGGGCCUCGCGCUAUAGGGUUGGCCGAUGGCUGAUUAGCUAGUUGGUGGGGUAAAGGCCUACCAAGGCGACGAUCAGUAGCUGGGCUGAGAGGACGACCAGCCACACUGGGACUGAGACACGGCCCAGACUCCUACGGGAGGCAGCAGUGGGGAAUUUUGGACAAUGGGCGAAAGCCUGAUCCAGCAAUGCCGCGUGUGUGAAGAAGGCCUUCGGGUUGUAAAGCACUUUUGUCCGGAAAGAAAUCCUUGGCUCUAAUACAGUCGGGGGAUGACGGUACCGGAAGAAUAAGCACCGGCUAACUACGUG